UUUUUUUUUACUUUUUUU
rnacentral:sRNA from 1 species